CAGCAAAAAGAGGAGGAUUGGCGGCAGAUGUUAGCUCAGGGCUAAUCUUACUCAAAAAAAAAAAAAAAAAAGUUUUUAUAGAGCUUAAUCUGGAGCACCCCCACAUCCCCUUCUCAGAGGUGGGUGGUGCUGAAAGUUCCAACCCUCCAGUCAUUUUUGCUUUCUGGGGACCAGCCUUAUUCUGAGGCUAUCUGAGGGUACUUGAAGUCACCUCAUUCCUGUAAGAUCAAAAGGGGCUCUUGUAACGGACAAAUGACACUGUGGUCACUGGAGAAUCCCAAGGGUUUGAGGAGCUUUGUACUAGGAACUGGGAACAAAGACCAAAUAUAUUUCUUAUUAUACCACACUCACUUAACAUUAGCAAAUCCGUCAAGUGCAUGUCAGCAAUGGGUUGGCUAAAAUUUGGUUUAGCAGAGAUAAAUGUAAGAUUUCAGUCGUUAUACUCUUUCAGGAAGGAGUCAGUCUUACCCAGUGACCAAUUCCAAGCUCCAACCUGACUCUUAGGCAACAAUGAGGAACACUUCAUUUGAGCCUAUAGAUAUUUGAAAACUUUGAUGUUCAAGGUCCGUAAAAUAUUGGAAGUGGUUUUCACUCUGAGACUUCCCUUGUGAAAAUAGUGCUUUGUAAUGUUCAUGAUUCCCUGCUCUCUGUUUCCUCUCUCUGUGAUCUUAUCGUUAUUCAAAACCUGGACCACUAUGUGUAGUCCUGUCCCUAAACUCCCACAAAGAUUUAAAGGUGUUGGAGUAGAUCUAGAGAAAGGCAGCCAGACUGUUCCUCAUCUUUGUUUGCUUGUACCUGGCAUAGUGCCUGGCACUUGAGUUCCAUAAAUGUUUAUUCAAAUGAGUUAAAUUAAAAUAAAUUCAAGUGAUAGAUCCCAAAGUUAUAUAGUACAGUUAUUGAAAUUUGCUCUCAAGGGGCCGGCCUGGUGACACAGCAGUUAAGUGUGCACAUUCCACUUCUCAGCGGCCUGGGGUUCACCAGUUCGGAUCCCGGGUGCAGACAUGGCACCGCUUGGCACGCCAUGCUGUGGUAGGCGUCCCACAUAUAGAGUGGAGGAGGAUGGGCA
rnacentral:lncRNA from 1 species